ACCCAAAAAACUCAUACAGGUUUAGAUCAACAUGAAGGUGAGUAAAUGAUGUUCAUUUUUGGGUGUACUAUCCCUUUAAUUUCACAGUCCAACCAGGACUGUCAAUCAGUUUCUAGUAAAUUAUUAUUUCUAGCGGUUAUAUACUUAUUUUAGAAGCAAAGUGAGGUGUAAAUGAGCUUUUAAAGGUGAGACUGAGACUCAACACUGACAUCUAGUGCUUUUAGACUUAUCAACACUGCUCAUUUUUGUCAAACCUGAGACUUUCACUUAUUAUUUGGAGAAAUCAAUAUUUAUCAAGCAUCACUAUUAUUACUGUUUAUACAUCAGGUUGUUGAAAAAAACUUUACACUUUUAAACUCGCCGUGUAACCAUUAUUACUAGAGAUUACUAGAGAUUUUAUCUAUGGCACCCACACAGCGAUCACCUACUGUAAAACACCAUAGAAACCAAAGGCCACUUUAUGUUCGCCAUACGUCUUAGUAACAGCAUAGCAACACCAUAUCGACCACUCGAACUCUCGAAUUCGCAAAACAACCACUCAUAAGGCCCCAGCAACCGCACAACUACGAGCAAACCACUCAUAACGCCUCAGCAACCGCAUAGCAACGUAUUAAAACAUCUAUAGCGGAUGCCUAGCAACCGCAUGGCCACGUGCUGAUGAGAAUUCGGUUUCGCUUAAAAUUGUGAACAGUGCCAAAGACCAAAGCGCCACAUAAACAAAACAAAGAAAUGAUACGCACAUUUUCUGCGGAGGUAAUUCGCGAUUUUCCCGGCAUCCUGCAGCUGCCAGCUGGCGGAUGAUUCGAGAGUUCCGGUGAAUGAUGACUAGUAGUAGGUGAGAAAAGUAACGCACGCGCUACAGCCUGUAUGUACCUGAGGCGAAGACGACGCAAGUGACAACACCCACAAAAUCUAUGGUUUCUAGACAUCCAAGCCUGGGCCAAAGACAGCUGGUCAAAAUGAAAACCUGCCGCUAUCCCGAAUGAGGAACCAAGACUGCGGCAGGCUAUUUAUUCCACUCGGCUAAUGCCUAAUGUCUGCCUGGGCAGAUGAGAAAGAACUUAACGCUUCCUUUUUUAGCAUGUGCAUGUACGUGGAGCAGCACUCGUGGUCUGGCGUGGUGUAGGGGUACGAUCGGCAACUAUUGGGAAAGGGUGCAGAAGGCAUGUGCCCAUUGAGGAGAUAUCCAUACAGGAGAAGGGAUCUGUGCGUCUAGCCAUGAGUCACUCUUUCUGUUUACCUAGAGGCCGUAAUGCAGCCAUCGGUCUGAUUCCUGCCACCAUGGCAACCUUCCGGCCACCACAGCAACUGUCUUUCCCUAUGCGGGCUGCCACACUCCACUUGAGGAAUUCCAUAAUGGUGGCCAAGGAAGGACACCUUCUCAUGCGGUUUCCGUCUUAAUGCCGUUCCCUUAUUACGUCUUGCUGCUGCAUAUCCUCGAAUGACUGAGGCAGACAGGUGGAUGUGCUUUGGGAAACCAGCAGAAGUUGAGUCUUCUGAAUACAGAAUUAUCACAAUACUAUGUUUACAAUAUGUAUUAGGUACCAAUUAACCCCAAAAUAAACAGAAAAAUAAUUUAA